AGGUCAUAGUGAUCCGGUGGUUCUGUAUGGAAGGGCCAUCGCUCAACGGAUAAAAGGUACUCCGGGGAUAACAGGCUGAUACCGCCCAAGAGUUCACAUCGACGGCGGUGUUUGGCACCUCGAUGUCGGCUCAUCACAUCCUGGGGCUGAAGCCGGUCCCAAGGGUAUGGCUGUUCGCCAUUUAAAGUGGUACGCGAGCUGGGUUUAGAACGUCGUGAGACAGUUCGGUCCCUAUCUGCCGUGGACGUUGGAGAUUUGAGGAAAGCUGCUCCUAGUACGAGAGGACCGGAGUGGACGAACCUCUGGUGUUCCGGUUGUCACGCCAGUGGCACUGCCGGGUAGCUAUGUUCGGACGGGAUAACCGCUGAAAGCAUCUAAGCGGGAAGCCCCUUCCAAGAUGAGAUCUCCCUGGACCCUCGAGGUCCCUGAAGAGCCGUUCAAGACCAGGACGUGGAUAGGCCGGGUGUGUAAGCGCUGUGAGGCGUUGAGCUAACCGGUACUAAUGGCUCGUGAGGCUUGACUAUAUAACGCCCAAG
rnacentral:rRNA from 1 species